rnacentral:tRNA from 1 species
GGUCAGGUAGCCUAAUUAGCGGUUAAGGCAGCCCAUGCGUGUUGGGUCCGGAUCCAUUGGAUCUGGUCGCUGGUUCAAAUCCAGCCUCGACCA